rnacentral:misc_RNA from 1 species
GAUGAAGAACGUAGCGAAAUGCGAUACGUAGUGUGAAUUGCAGAAUUCAGCGAAUCAUCGAAUCUUUGAACGCACAUUGCACCUCUCGGUAUUCCGGGAGGUAUGCCUGUUCGAGCGUCAUUUGUACCCUCAAGCUCUGCUUGGUGUUGGGUGUUUGUUCCGCCUCUGUGUGUGAACUCGCCUCAAAACAAUUGGCAGCCGGCGUACUUGUUUCGGAGCGCAGCACAUUUUGCGAUCCAGAUCAACGUACAGCGGCAUCCAAGAAGCCUUAUUUAACGCUCUUGACCUCGGAUCAGGUAGGGAUACCCGCUGAACUUAAGCAUAUCAAUAAGCGGAGGA